UACGUAGGUCCCGAGCGUUGUCCGGAUUUAUUGGGCGUAAAGCGAGCGCAGGUGGUUUGUUAAGUCUGGUGUAAAAGGCAGUGGCUCAACCAUUGUAUGCAUUAGAAACUUGUAGACUUGAGUGCAGGAGAGGAGAGUGGAAUUCCAUGUGUAGCGGUGAAAUGCGUAGAUAUAUGGAGGAACACCGGUGGCGAAAGCGGCUCUCUGGCCUGUAACUGACACUGAGGCUCGAAAGCGUGGGGAGCAAACAGG
rnacentral:rRNA from 1 species